UGCAAAAUGCACUUUUCCAUGGUUUUCUAUCGGUAGUAUGUGUCCCUGGCGUGUCUACGGACCCCCCAAACAUGAGAAAAGUCCAUCCUCUCGUUCUUUUGCUUUCUCCACCUUUCAAGAAAUGUGUGCUCAAACGAGCGGAUUGGAGAUUCGCCCCUGGUGACGUCAAGAAGGGCGAUGCCCCUCCCCCCGGAUGGGUGACGCUCCCCGAGCUAGGUGUGUGUUCCGCCCUCUGAGUCCGUGUUACAGACGGUAUCGUUACUUCCCUCGCGAACACUGGCUUUCGGUAGAACAAUGUCGAAGGUACGAGCGAAACACAGUAGUUGCUUUGUUGUUGGCUGCACAAACCAACACAGGAGUCUUUUUUAAAUCCCUACGCCCGAGGAUCUGAAGACCCAGUGGAUUAAUUUUAUUUUUGAUGGAAAUGUUCCCGCUCCAACUCCGAAAGUGUUGUACGUGUGUGCUAACCAUUUCACCUCGGACUGCUUUCUCAACGAGGGCCAGGACAACGCAGGAUUUCCUACAAGUCUCAAGAUAAAGCUUGGAUCAGUACCGACUGUCCGUGACCCAACUUUGAACUUCGGAGCUGCCAUCUAUACAGCUUCCUGCAACAAGGGGUGUUGCAUGCCAGACUGACCCACUGUAGGCACACAGUUAUCCUUGAAGAUCUUCAGCCUCACAUCAGAAGUACAGCUCUGUAGCCAUCUGAAGUGCAUCUACUUUUGAUAAACCUAACAGUCAUUUAUCAGUCUUGGAAUAAUGUGCAGGGAAUGUGGUGGACCUCAUAUUUGAAAAAGUCUUUGUGACCUGGGACCAUACACAGAAGCUGCUUUGGCCAUCCCCAUCCCAGAGGACCUCACUGCACAGUCGAGCGGCCUGAGAAGGAGGAGGUCAUAUCCA